UACGUAGGUGGCAAGCGUUGUCCGGAAUUACUGGGCGUAAAGAGCGCGCAGGCGGCUGGUCAAGUCCGAUGUGAAAGCUUCCGGCUUAACUGGGAAAUUGCAUCGGAAACUGAUCGGCUUGAAGGUGGGAGAGGGUAGUGGAAUUCCCGGUGUAGUGGUGAAAUGCGUAGAGUAUCGGGAGGAACACCAGUGGCGAAGGCGACUACCUGGCCCACUCUGACGCUGAGGCGCGAAAGCUAGGGAGCGAACGGG
rnacentral:rRNA from 1 species